rfam:Danio rerio chromosome 7, GRCz11 reference primary assembly.
GCCGGCAGCUAGCUCUCUGCAACUCUCACAUGGUCGCCCACUGAAGCUAAGCAGGGCUGUGCCUGGUCAGUACCUGGAUGGGAGACCACAUGGGAAAGCUAGGUUGCUGCCGGAA